UGGGGGAUAUUGCACAAUGGGCGAAAGCCUGAUGCAGCGACGCCGCGUGGGGGAUGAAGGCCUUCGGGUUGUAAACUUCUUUUGCUCUGAACAAGGCAUGCCUUUGGGGUGUGUUGAGUGUAGGGGUUGAUUAGCGCCGGCUAACUACGUGCCAGCAGCCGCGGUAAUACGUAGGGCGCGAGCGUUGUCCGGAAUUAUUGGGCGUAAAGGGCUUGUAGGUGGCUGGUUGCGUCUGUCGUGAAAGCUCAUGGCUUAACUGUGGGUUUGCGGUGGGUACGGGCUGGCUUGAGUGCAGUAGGGGAGGCUGGAAUUCCUGGUGUAGCGGUGGAAUGCGCAGAUAUCAGGGGGAAUACCGGUGGCGAAGGCGGGUCUCUGGGCUGUUACUGACGCUGAGGAGCGAGAGCGUGGGGAGCGAACAGG
rnacentral:rRNA from 1 species